GACGGGAGCUGGGGAAGAGGGGAGAGGGGGAGUAGAGUCUGGAGGAGUGAAGGAGAUGGAGGCAGGGGAUGAGACUCUACUAGACACUACUCCACUGGCUCCACUCCAGAUCACCUGCCUAGAGAAGCAGGUGGUGAUGCUGCAGGCUGAACUGCACUCUCUCUCUGAGGAGAACCAGAGGCAGGCUGAGGAGCUGACAGUGUGGAGGCUAAUGGCCCAGCCCCUCUGUCUAGACCCAGAGGACCUCACCUCUGCUACCCUCAGCCCUGGCCACACCACUGCUACCCUCAGCCCUGGCCACACCACUGCUACCCUCAGCCCUGGCCACACCACUGCUACCCUCAGCCCUGGACACAACACUGCAGCCCUGGCCACAACACUGCUACCCUCAGCCCUGGCCACAACACUGCUACCCUCAGCCCUGGACACAACACUGCUACCCUCAGCCCUGGCCACAACACUGCUACCCUCAGCCCUGGCCACAACACUGCUACCCUCAGCCCUGGCCACAACACUGCUACCCUCAGCCCUGGCCACAACACUGCUACCCUCAGCCCUGGCCACAACACUGCUACCCUCAGCCCUGGACACAACACUGCUACCCUCAGCCCUGGCCACAACACUGCUACCCUCAGCCCUGGCCAACACAGCAGUGUGAUGGUGAUCAGAGAGGAUGAGCUGCUUCUCUCCUGUACCUCCAGUAGACUGUAUGGGAGGACCCUGGCCUCAAGACUGCAUCACUGCAAUUCUCCUGAAGCAAAGAGUCUCCAAAACCCAUCCAGAAAGAACAAAUCUACACAUCCCCAAGAGACGGAAAAACAGACCAAUGAACAUGGGGAAGAUGGUGAAGAAGCAGACAUCACCAAAGAUGUUUACCAAAUCUCAGAGCUCCAGACCAAGGCAACAGAGCACACUAACCAAGAUGAUUCAGAAAACAAGACCAAUCCAAACACUCCCAGAGCAACAGAUCAGCACAAUCUAGACGUCAUAGAACUAGAUAACAAAGAGUUCCCCACUCUGUCUCUCGCUGAGGCUCAAUCCACUGAAGCACAGUUCUCUGAAACCAACCAUUCCAGUCACCAUCAAGAGGUACCAAUCUCCACUGGUGUUGAGAAUAAAAGUCACUCCUCGGUCCGUAGAACAGUCACCACUACAUCAGAGUGGCGAACUGAGAGAACGAUGGUGGAGACCAAGGUUCUGAGUUCAAAGGUCAUACCAGCAGGAUGGACAGGUCAAGAGAGAUUGAGCUCUGUAGAGGUGAGUAGUACCAGCUCUCAGACAGAGGGGAGAGAAACAGGCGCCCUACCAGAAACACACCACGUAUACACACAGACGGAGGAGGAGAAUGAUGAAGAACCCACAGAAUCACCCCCUGUGUCACCAGUCCAGAUGUCUGAGGCCAAGGGGGACAGGAUGUUGUUUUCUGGGUCCUUCCCGAUCCCUGCCGACCCAGCCCGUCUUGCGGAGCGGAUCCGUCGUAACCGGACUCAGAUGUCUGCAGCGUACGAUGAUACGGAAUACGAACCCUACGGCCUGCCUGAGGUGGUCAUGAAAGCCUGUCAAAUCAUCAACCACUCUAACCAAACCAACUCUCCAUCAGACCUUACAGACACCGAAACAGACAACAGAUAUGAGCUUAACCUGUGGGAUGGUAUCAAACUAUGUCUAAUUGAAAUGCAUUCCAGGUGACUACCUCAUGAAGCUGGUUGAGAGAAUGCAAAGGGUGUGCAAAGCUGUCAUCAAGGCAAAGGAUGGCUAGUUUGAAGAAUCUCAAAUCUCCAAUUUUUGGUUACUACAUGAUUACAUUUGUGUUAUUUAAUUGUUUAGAUGUCUUCACUAUUAUUCUACAAUGUAGAAAAUAGUCAAAAUAAAGAAAAACCUUUGAUUGAGUAGGUGUUAACUUUUGACUGGUUCUGUAUGUCUUCCUCCUAGCACCCCUAGUAAACAUACAACCUCCCACUAGCAUUAUAUAAACAGUACUAAAUGUUCACAUUGCUCCUUCUCCCAUCUUCUCCAGGUUUUGCUGACAUUCCCAGUGGUCUAGGCUGUCCGUACAUUGUGAGGAGGGGGCUCCUGGGUACUGCUGCUAUGCCCCGCCCCCAGAGAGAUCCCGGCCAGGGGGAGGGGGGGCAGGAGGACCCUGAUUAACCCCCAACAGGUGAAGCGUUUAGCCCCUUAGAACCCAAUAUCUGCACCGGUCACACAAAUAACAGCUGCAUCAUCACACAGUUUACGUUCAGCACGUAUUUCACAAUUAUCACACGGUUUGUGUAGUCGUAAUGUAAACCACUAUGUGAUCGUGAUAGAUUAUACAAAGUCUGUAGUUGCAUAAUGUUGUCUUUAGAAAGGACGUUUCAUGUGGAGAUGACAUUAACUAGUUCCACAUAUGACUGACUUAAUCGUCUGGUCCUCCUUGGGAGAGUAGGGCGUCCCCCAUGGCAAUCCACCUCUCUCUCUCCUGUGUGGGUUCACAAGUUCCACAUAUGGUUGAGUGUAUUUGUUUAUGCCGUGUGUCAGAGUGUUUGUACAGAUCCACUGGAAGACCGUCAGAGGAGUUAAUUUCACUGGACCUGCUGUGUACUGACCCCCACCUCCUGCCCUGAUGUACUGACCCGAAUAAAACCUGUUUCAUCUCUUGUGUACUGAAACACCUGAAGAGGGACAUCUGUCCCCUGCUGACGUUUAAGACAAGACCUUUCAUUGAGUUAUACAGAGGUCCAUUGGUUUCUAUGCACCUACUACAGUACUGUUCUUUACAAAUCUACUGGUUCAGAUUUCCUUGUUGUGGUUCAAAUGAGAAAUGGUGCCUUGUUUUUAUUUAAUUUGUAUAAGCUACUUUAGGCCAUGGUCCAUUGCCUGUUGUGAAAACUUGAAUUUUCAUUUGAAUAGUCUUAUUUAUAGACUGUUGAAUGUUUUAGUGUGUGUGUUCAUGUUGGUUUUUAUAAGCAGUGGGUGUACAUUUGAGGGAGCGUGUGUCGGUUUGUACAAAACUGUCCACGGAUGAGUACGUACUGCAUGUGUAGGAUGAUGUCUGGUCGUUAUGUUUUCUCAAUAUUAGCCUGUGCCUGUGUAUGACUCAACCUAACCUGAGCGUGUUUCCUCUCCUUGUAUGGUGAUCCACUGGGAGCGCUCCUUCUCUUCCCCUCCCUCGUCCCCUCUUUCUGUUCUUUCCCUAUUCAUUUCUCUCUUUCUUUACACUCAAACCUUUUUCAAAAUGACACCCUCUGUGCUCUUGAAUUUACACAAGUGCUAAACACAUGAGUGAGGUAGUUUAUUUUUAUUUUUUUAGAUACACUAUUUAAAUUGUGCAGGUUUUAGUCUGCUUUUUUGGACUAUUUUAGUUUUUCCUAGAUUUAAUAUAUUACAUUUUUGGGGGGAUAGAUUUUUCGUGCACGUUAGUGAUUGUGCCAUAGUUUUCUAGAUUUUCAGUUGCAUCUAUAAACUGCCCUGGUUUGAAACAAUAUUCACUUAAGAGAUUGUAUAUCAAAUGAAUUUAUAGCAUCUUAAAUGUAAUCUUGGUACUGCCACCAAGAUUGUGCUUUGAGGAAGUGUGUGCGCUUGUAUACAAAACAUUAAGAACUCUUUCCAUGACAGACUGACCAGGUGACUACAGGUGAAAGCUAUGAUCCAUUAUUGAUGUCUCUUGUUAUAUCCACUUCAAUCAGCGUAGACGAAGGGGAGGAGAAGGUUGAAGAAGGAUUUCUGGUAGAGCAUGGCACUUGCAACGCCAGGUUUGUGGGUUCGAUUCCCACGUGGGACCAGUACAAACGAAAUAUGAAAAUGUAUGCACUCACCACUACAUGUCGCUCUGGAUAAAAGCAUCUGCUAAAUGACUCAAAUGUAAACGUGUGUGUGUGUGUGUGUGUGUGUGCCAUUCAGAGGGUGAAUGGGCAAGAUAACAUAUUUAAGUGCCUUUGAACAGGGUAUGGUAAUAGGUGCCAGACUCACCGGUUUGUGUCAAGAACUGCGACACUGCUGGGUUUUUCACACUCAACAGUUUUUCCGUGUGUAUCAAGAAUGGUCCACCACCCAAAGGACAUCCAGACAACUUGACACAACUGUGGGAAGCAACUGCCCCAAUGAAGUGAGGCUGUUCUGAGGUCAAAGGGGAGUGCAACUCAAUAUUAGGAAGGGUUCUUAAUGUUUUGUACACUGUGUUUUGUUAACGAAACCUUCCUCCAUUCCAAAUCUGCUCCGACCUUCUUUCAGAGCUGAGGUUUAUUACAGCGUUACUGCAUGGUACUAAGAUGAAUGUGAGUUGUUAUUGGUUUUGUUGUGGUCUAAAAAAAUCUCUCAAAACACCUAUUUGUUUUUAACACACAACUAAAUAAGUUAACAGCCAUUGGAUCUGAUAGAAAUGACAGGUUUAAUACAUUGUGGAGUGAUUUUAACUUGAUAUACAUAGUUAGCUACACUUGCUUUCUGUCACUACUGACAUGAUGCAUGUAGCCACUAGCAACAACCAUGUCUUCUCUAGAUUCUAGAAGCCUGGCGUGUGUUCUAGAACACGUAUGGGCUGUUACAGUACCAUUCACUAGCCUUCUGAACACACCCCUAGCUGAGUUAUCUGUGGGAUCUCUGGGUGGUGGGACUAGUCCAAGGAGUCCAGCAGAACACACUGGAUUCUUUCCCCUGUAUGUGACACUUUUAUGUGAAUGUAUCACUGUUGAUGCUUUGUGUCGCUGUUGAAGAAGAUAGAUUAAAAAGGUUGAUCUAAAUUUAUCUUGUCAAUUUCUCUUUCCACCUCCUAAGGUCUGUGUGUCAGUUGUUUGUUUCUGUCUUGUCUAUGCUAGC
ensembl:lncRNA